UACGUAGGGUGCGAGCGUUAAUCGGAAUUACUGGGCGUAAAGGGUGUGUAGGCGGUUCUUUAAGUUUGGUGUGAAAUCUCCCGGCUCAACCGGGAGGGUGCGCCGAAUACUGAGGAGCUAGAGUGCGGGAGAGGAAAGUGGAAUUCCUGGUGUAGCGGUGAAAUGCGUAGAUAUCAGGAGGAACACCGGUGGUGUAAACGGCUUUCUGGACCGUAACUGACGCUGAGACACGAAAGCGUGGGUAGCAAACAGG
rnacentral:rRNA from 1 species